rnacentral:rRNA from 1 species
UACGGAGGGAGCUAGCGUUGUUCGGAAUUACUGGGCGUAAAGCGCGCGUAGGCGGCUUUGUAAGUUAGAGGUGAAAGCCCGGAGCUCAACUCCGGAACUGCCAUUGAAACUGUUAGACUUGAGGACGAGAGAGGUGAGUGGAAUUCCCAGUGUAGAGGUGAAAUUCGUAGAUAUUGGGAAGAACACCGGUGGCGAAGGCGGCUCACUGGCUCGUAUCUGACGCUCAGGCGCGACAGCGUGGGGAUCAAACAGG